CGCAAGGAGGACGCGGCCGAAGGUAGGACUGGUAAUUAGGGUGAAGUCGUAACAAGGUAGCCGUAUCGGAAGGUGCGGCUGGAUCACCUCCUUUCUAAGGAGA
rnacentral:rRNA from 1 species